rnacentral:lncRNA from 1 species
ACGCCGCCGCCGCCACCACCACCGCCAUAGAUACACUCUCAUCCUACGGGCCACGCCUGGGCCUUGCUGCCAGGAAGCUUCGGCCCCGCAGCUCGGCUUGCUGCGGUCUCAGGUUUCUUUACCUCCAGAAAGAAGAAUAUUGGCCCCUUGAAUUCUGGAAGUUCAUUGAAGAGUCUGAAAUUAGGGACUUAUUUCAAAUUUGGACAUGGCUAGUCGAGGCGCAACAAGACCCAACGGGCCAAAUACGGGAAAUAAAAUAUGCCAGUUCAAACUAGUACUUCUGGGAGAGUCCGCUGUUGGCAAAUCAAGCCUAGUGCUUCGUUUUGUGAAAGGCCAAUUUCAUGAAUUUCAAGAGAGUACCAUUGGGGGUGGAUAUCAUAUGUUACACUCUUGAUUUGUGGAUUCUGGAUUCAUUAAGAAUAUCAAGAUUUCUUCUGUAAUUUGUGUGGUUCUUCCUAAAUACAAUAACUUGAUUUACGAAUUCCUGUUGCGCUGUGUGCGGUGGCUUGCAUCUGUAAUCCCAGCACUUUGGGAAGCUGAGGUGGGCAGAUCGCUUGAGUCCAGGAGUUUGAGACCAGCCUGGCCAACAUAGCAAAACCCCGUCUUUACAAAAAAUACGAAAAUUAACCGGGCAUGGUGGCACACACCUGUAGUCCCAGCUACUGAGAAGGCUGAAAUGGGAGAAUUGCUUGAACUGAAGAGGCGGAGGUUACAGUGAGCCGAGACUGCACCACCACACUCCAGCCUGGGUGACAGUGAGAACCCUGUCUCAAAAACAAAACAAAACAAAGAAUCCCUGUUGCCUCACCAUACUUCAUGCAUCCUACCCCUAUAGCACUUCUGAUGAAAUUGCGUGCCGUAGAUUUAGCAAUUUAGAGAAUUCUA